AGCCCAACUGAUUCAAAGCAUUAUUCAACACGUUUGGUGAAAAACUCAGAGCCAACUUCGGAGAAACUAAGAAACUCGUCCUCCAGACGGCUGGACACAAGGAUCUUCUUGAAGAUGAUCCUUACCUGAAACAGAGACUGAGACUUCGUAACUCUUACAUCACAACUCUCAAUGUCUGUCAAGCUUACACUUUGAAGAGGAUCCGUGACCCGAGUUACAAUGUGACGCUACGUUACGUCCUCACAUCUCUAAGGAGAUUGCGGAAUCGAGCAAAGAACUCAUCGAGCUUAACCCGACUAGCGAGUACGCGCCUGGACUCGAAGAUACACUCAUCUUGACCAUGAAGGGUGUCGCUGCUGGUCUACAGAACACCGGUAGAGUAAAAA